rnacentral:rRNA from 1 species
GACGAACGCUGGCGGCGUGCCUAAUACAUGCAAGUAGAACGCUGAAGGAGGAGCUUGCUCUUCUGGAUGAGUUGCGAACGGGUGAGUAACGCGUAGGUAACCUGCCUGGUAGCGGGGGAUAACUAUUGGAAACGAUAGCUAAUACCGCAUAAGAGUAGAUGUUGCAUGACAUUUACUUAAAAGGUGCAAUUGCAUCACUACCAGAUGGACCUGCGUUGUAUUAGCUAGUUGGUGGGGUAACGGCUUACCAAGGCGACGAUACAUAGCCGACCUGAGAGGGUGAUCGGCCACACUGGGACUGAGACACGGCCCAGACUCCUACGGGAGGCAGCAGUAGGGAAUCUUCGGCAAUGGACGGAAGUCUGACCGAGCAACGCCGCGUGAGUGAAGAAGGUUUUCGGAUCGUAAAGCUCUGUUGUAAGAGAAGAACGAGUGUGAGAGUGGAAAGUUCACACUGUGACGGUAUCUGACCAGAAAGGGACGGCUAACUACGUG